CAGCAGCCGCGGUAAUACGUAGGUGGCAAGCGUUGUCCGGAUUUAUUGGGCGUAAAGCGAGCGCAGGCGGUUCCUUAAGUCUGAUGUGAAAGCCCACGGCUCAACCGUGGAAGGUCAUUGGAAACUGGGGAACUUGAGUGCAGAAGAGGAGAGUGGAAUUCCAUGUGUAGCGGUGAAAUGCGCAGAGAUAUGGAGGAACACCAGUGGCGAAGGCGACUUUCUGGUCUGUAACUGACGCUGAUGUGCGAAAGCGUGGGGAUCAAACAGGAUUAGAUACCCCAGUAGUCCCUGUCUCUUAUAA
rnacentral:rRNA from 1 species